UACGUUGCCUCGGCGGAUCAGCCCGCGCCCUGUAAAAAGGGACGGCCCGCCCGAGGACCCUAAACUCUGUUUUUAGUGGAACUUCUGAGUAAAACAAACAAAUAAAUCAAAACUUUCAACAACGGAUCUCUUGGUUCUGGCAUCGAUGAAGAACGCAGCAAAAUGCGAUAAGUAAUGUGAAUUGCAGAAUUCAGUGAAUCAUCGAAUCUUUGAACGCACAUUGCGCCCGCCAGUAUUCUGGCGGGCAUGCCUGUUCGAGCGUCAUUUCAACCCUCAAGCUCAGCUUGGUGUUGGGACUCGCGGUAACCCGCGUUCCCCAAAUCGAUUGGCGGUCACGUCGAGCUUCCAUAGCGUAGUAAUCAUACACCUCGUUACUGGUAAUCGUCGCGGCCACGCCGUAAAACCCCAACUUCUGAAUGUUGACCUCGGAUCAGGUAGGAAUACCCGCUGAACUUAAGCAUAUCAAUAAGCGGAGGAAUAU
rnacentral:rRNA from 1 species